CACUGGAGACUGGACACUCUCAGGGUGGACCAUGGUGGAGAGCAUUGGUUAAAACCUGGUGUGAAGAAGUAUUUCUGUGAACUCACACUGGACACAAACAC